rnacentral:rRNA from 1 species
GACAGAGGGUGCGAACGUUGCUCGGAAUUACUGGGCGUAAAGCGCGUGUAGGCGGACUGGUAAGUCGGACGUGAAAUCCCUGGGCUCAACCCAGGAACUGCAUCCGAAACUAUCAGUCUGGAGUGGUGGAGAGGGAAGCAGAAUUCCUGGUGUAGAGGUGAAAUUCGUAGAUAUCAGGAGGAACACCGGUGGCGAAGGCGGCUUCCUGGACACUAACUGACGCUGAGACGCGAAAGCGUGGGGAGCAAAC